rnacentral:rRNA from 1 species
AGCGAACGCUGGCGGCAGGCCUAAUACAUGCAAGUCGAACGGUCUCUUCGGAGGCAGUGGCGGACGGGUGAGUAACGCGUGGGAACGUGCCCUUUGGUACGGAACAACUGAGGGAAACUUCAGCUAAUACCGUAUGUGCCCUUCGGGGAAAGAUUUAUCGCCAUUGGAGCGGCCCGCGUUGGAUUAGCUAGUUGGUGGGUAAUGGCCCACCAAGGCGACGAUCCAUAGCUGGUCUGAGAGGAUGAUCAGCCACACUGGGACUGAGACACGGCCCAGACUCCUACGGGAGGCAGCAGUAGGGAAUCUUGCGCAAUGGGCGAAAGCCUGACGCAGCCAUGCCGCGUGAAUGAUGAAGGUCUUAGGAUUGUAAAAUUCUUUCACCGGGGACGAUAAUGACGGUACCCGGAGAAGAAGCCCCGGCUAACUUCGUGCCAGCAGCCGCGGUAAU